rnacentral:lncRNA from 1 species
AGGCGGCGGUGCUGCUGCAUGCGCUGGCGUGCCAGCCGCGGCUGCGCCUGAGCGCGGUCGCAUACACGGGCGCGCUGGUCGCCGGUCACGCCUCCUGGCUGGGCUUUGCGCUGGAGCCCAUGCACGACCGCCUGCGCCAGCUGCGCAUCCACGUCGCACCCGCAGAGGCCGUCCAGUUCGCGGACCCCUGGGCCGUUGCGUCCUCCAGCAUGUCGGGCGCUUCGUGGGGCUCCAGGUGCUGCUCUCGCUUGAAUUUCUUCCUCGUUCGCUGCAGACAUGUGAUCGUUUAAUCCUUGGUGUCACCAUGGUGCGUUUGAGUUUAGGGCGUAUGGCUGGCUCCAGAUGACCUGGCAGAAAGAUGUGAAGGGGCAAUGGUCUACCAUUCAGAUUUACAGAGUCAGUAGGAGCCAUUGUUUUGAUUGCAAACUGAUUGCAUUGUGGAAACCCGUGCGCAGGCUGACGGGCUCACAGCGAGACGCUGGAGGCUCGGCACACUCUGCUCUGGCCAGCUGCCGCCUGGAAUUUCUGGACGCGCCAGCUGAGCUUGCGCAAUUUCGAAAAGCUCCCGAUGCAGAGCCAGAUCAGGGCGCAGGCCCGGCACCAGAUCAGGCGCUUGAGCAUGCGGAGGAGGGCACGCGGCUGGAGACGGUAUC